GAUGAAGAACGCAGCGAAGUGCGAUAAGUAAUGUGAAUUGCAGAAUUCCGUGAAUCAUCGAAUCUUUGAACGCAAAUUGCACUUUCUGGUAUUCCGGAGAGUAUGCCUGUUUGAGGGUCAGUGUAAUAAAUAAAUCGUGGUUGUUACCACCUUUCGUGGUGACGCUUCGGAAUUGAGUCCUCUUACCCUUCGGGUUAAGUGACUUAAAAUUUUUUCAUACGAUUUCGAACCGUAUUUAAUGUAUUAUGUACGUUCACGAAUAUCGAAUGUUUAUUAGGUGCGGUCAUUUUUCAUGAAUUCGCGUCUAUAAUUUUUUUUUUUUGACCUCAAAUCAGGUAAGAAUACCCGCUGAACUUAAGCAUAUCAAUAAGCGGAGGA
rnacentral:misc_RNA from 1 species